rnacentral:rRNA from 1 species
AUAAUACUAACGGCGUAAAGAACGACUAACAAUAUGUCUAAAAAUUAGAGACGAAACCAAGCUGGGCUGUAAAAAGCCAUAAGUCAUACUAAUCACACUCUAACAACAAACUAAUUCCACUCGUGAAAGUUAGGGCACAAACUAAGAUUAGAUACCUUACUAUGCCUAACCAUAAAAUAACAAUUAAAUAACCCAUUGUUCGCCAAAUAACUACGAGUAAAAACUUAAAAUUUAAAAGACUUGACGGUACCUCAAAACAACCUAGAGGAGCCUGUCUAAUAACCGAUACUCCACGAUAAACCCGACCCGCUCUAGCCAAACAGUCUAUAUACCGCCGUCGCCAGCCCACCUUAUGAAAGAAACAAAGUGGGCCUAAUAGUCACACACUAACACGACAGGUCGAGGUGUAACUUAUGAACGGGCCCAAGAUGGGCUACAUUUUCUAAUACAGAAAACACGGAUUAAUCCUGAAAUAAAACUGAAGGCGGAUUUAGAAGUACAAUGGGAACAACCUACCCAAUCGAAAUUGACGCAAUGAGGUGCGUACACACCGCCCGUCAUCCCUGUAAUAUAGCUGAAUAAAUACAUAAA